CAGCCGUAAACUAUGCUCGCUAGGUGUCAGGCGUGGCGCGACCGUGUCUGGUGCCGCAGGGAAGCCGUGAAGCGAGCCACCUGGGAAGUACGGCCGCAAGGCUGAAACUUAAGGAUUGGCGGGAGCACAACAACGAGUGGAGCCUGCGGUUUAAUUGGACUCAACGCCGGACAACUCACCGGGGACGACAGCAAUAUGUAGGCCAGGCUGAAGACCUUGCCUGAAUCGCUGAGAGGUGGUGCAUGGCGUAGACGUCU
rnacentral:rRNA from 1 species